rnacentral:ribozyme from 1 species
UUUUUUUUUUUUUUUUUUUUUUUUUUUUG